AGUGAACGCUGGCGGUAGGCCUAACACAUGCAAGUCGAACGGCAGCACAGUAAGAGCUUGCUCUUACGGGUGGCGAGUGGCGGACGGGUGAGGAAUACAUCGGAAUCUACUUUUUCGUGGGGGAUAACGUAGGGAAACUUACGCUAAUACCGCAUACGACCUACGGGUGAAAGCAGGGGAUCUUCGGACCUUGCGCGAUUGAAUGAGCCGAUGUCGGAUUAGCUAGUUGGCGGGGUAAAGGCCCACCAAGGCGACGAUCCGUAGCUGGUCUGAGAGGAUGAUCAGCCAAACUGGAACUGAGACACGGUCCAGACUCCUACGGGAGGCAGCAGUGGGGAAUAUUGGACAAUGGGCGCAAGCCUGAUCCAGCCAUACCGCGUAGGUGAAGAAGGCAUUCGGGUUGUAAAGCCCUUUUGUUGGGAAAGAAAAGCAGCAGGUUAAUACCCCGCUGUUCUGACGGUACAAAAAGAAUAAGCACCGGCUAACUUCGUG
rnacentral:rRNA from 1 species